rnacentral:lncRNA from 1 species
AACACUCCCUGAUGCCAGCCCGGGCAUCAAGUUGAAGCCCUUUCAAGCGAUCAUCGGCUCCCUGGGAAAUGCCUUUUCUCUGUUACCUGGCACAGCCGAACAUCAAGAAGAAACGUGGAAAACAUCACACUGACCCCCCAGAAAAAUGAAAGAAAAGUACGGAAGAGACCAAUUCCCACCCUUGCUAUAGACGGAAUAAGUAUGUGCGUUUGUGAACCUUAAGUGUUCAUCUAAAUAUGUUGCUUCAACGGAGAUCCGCUUGUGGAUACAGACACACGAAAAUACACGAGACCACGCUCUAUUUUAAGGAAUUGCUGAAGAGUGUUGAACACUCAAACCCACCGCACAGCACCCUCGCAGCUAAGAGCACAAUUGAAUGAAACCAGCGGAUUCAUUUAUUUUAACCUCCACUGGAGCUGUCCCAAAAAAGCAGGGUGGGCAAUGCCAUUUCUGCAGCCGUCCAGGGCUCUGGCAAAUGUUAAGGCUGUCACUGUAGACAGAAUCCCCAUGGUCUGUCUGUGUGCCUCGAUAGAGUCCGAAGAAAAACAUUCCUCGCAUUCCUGACGGUUGGUCCUAUCUCCGGGCCUUGGACUCGGCCCUGCAGGCUCGUGUCACCCCGUCAAACGGCCUAGGCCACGGCUAAUCUAAACCGCUGCCCUCCCCAGCCAGCCCUGCGGCAGGGUGAAAACUGGGACCAAUUUGCUGCCUAAACCCUGAGGAUACAGCAAGUUUGAUUCUCGACCUUUAAGGACACCAGCUGCAAUUUGUUCCGCCGAAAAGAGCUUAGCGGUUCUGGCACAUUCUGACAAGAUACAUUUUAUAGGGUUUGUGCUCAAAUUUGAUAUUGGAAGUUAGGAUUCCAAUUUUAUGCCUCCAGUGAUAACAAUAGCAGCUGGGACCUUUAAGAAAUGUGUGUGUAUGCCUUCUAUUGAAGAGUUACAUAACAAAAGCUAUUUAUGUCAAACACCUUAUAAGGGAAAGAUUUAGCCUAAAUGUCAACAUAACAUAUAAUACUUUUUCAUAUUUAGAUAGGACGAAAACAUCUGCUAUCAGUGCUGCAUAUAAUUUUUGGUUUGGAGUAUUAGAUCUGUGGGGGCUUUCAACAUUUCAAGUAAGCAUCUCCUUGCCUUAAUUUACGAAUUCAUCGAGGGGCCUUUUUUUCAAUAUUGUUUCUGUAUAAAAAACAAAUACCGAUACAUCAUGAUUUGGUUUUCCAAGUCCUUCUAAUGAACGCACACAAAAGAAGGGCACAAUUUCAUGUUGUUUGAUUUGACAUUUGUAAUUCCCAAGCAUGCCAUGAAGCCAUUCAGUGGUGCCUUAUAAACCGAGGCUGCUUUUGUCUCCUGAAAAUGGCUGUGGUUUUGGAGAGGACCUGGCUGACCAGAACCUUGGUAAUUCUGAUGAAGGAAGAGAUCAGCCGCUCAAGGAAGAAAACCUUUCCCAGCAAAGGAACAGCAGCGCCCAGUUCAAGACAACAUCUGCAGCUCGAUUUUGGAGGGGCUUAAAUUCCCUCCAGCUUCCCUAGUGACACCACAGCAAGCUUUCUGAGAAGGAAUCCCACCACCAAAUAGACAAUGACUCUUGUUUACACCAGACGCUUAGGAGUGACCACACGUGGGCCUGUGAGGCAGGCUUGGCUGGAAAAUCCCAGCUUCCCUCUUAGCUUUUCUGCUCAGACGGCAGAACCUAACUGAGAUGGGAAGAGAACCCCAAUUAGCAAAGCCAGGGAUUCGCCUGCACCCAUGCAUGUGCCGGUUCCGUCCGUCCCCUUGCUUCAGGUUUCUUUGACGAAUUGGACGGUGUGACCACGGGUUAAUGAGAAAGCCCAGUGGACGGCGGCACGCACGGUCAUCUGGAUGUUCUCUGCUCCUGCCCCAGCCCCUGAGCCUCCCACUGUGGACCACAGCCCCCGUUGGGGAACACAGAGGUCACGGGGGCCAAAUGCAAAUACCACUUCUCCUUGGGACCUGUUGGAACCAGGCGACACCAACUUAAACUUGGCAAAACGCAAGUUCAAUUUCUUUUGUUCUGAAGUCACAACUUGGAUGUAACAGCUCCUAAGCCAAUAUGAUCUGAAAAAGAACUCACUACUGAGCUGCCCCCUUCCCACGGUCCGAAAAUUGCUUCAGCCUAAACGGAAGGCAAUUUCCUUUUCUUUUAUAACAAGAGAACCGCUAAGCUUCUCUUAGUAUUUCCACCCAGUGUCACCACUAAAUACCAGCACUUACAAAAAGAUCCCUCGUUGUGUCAACUGCCAGGCUGUCUAAUACGCUGAAUUUUAAAUAUGUUGGCUACAUGAUUAUUGUCAGAGAGAAUCAUGCUCCAGAUAAGGACCAGGAAGUGCAUCUAGAGACAGCAUGAAUAUUUAGAAUAAAAAUGCGCUGCUCCAGAGGUUUCUGCAGAGACUUAGAUUUGAAACAAUGGCUUUCUGUGUGCUGUGUCCCAUCCACUCAGUGACAUUGAUGCUGACUGUCAUUAUCUACAUUUCACAUCAGAGGAGAUGGAAGGAAAGGAAGAUUCAGUUUCACAAGGGGAGAACAUAACAGAUGAGGCUCGAAGGUAAAUAAUAAUAAUUGUAUGAAUAACCACCUUUACGGAGUUAUUACCAGAUGCCAGGAGUUUUCUACUCCUGUUAUACCAUCAUACGUGGAAAGACUCAUUUGACCCCCACAACAACCCAGGAGGAGGGACUAUUAUUAGCUUCACUUUGUAGAUGAGGAAACUGAGGCAGACAGAGGCCAGCCCAUCGCUGAAGACCAGGCUGCUGGAGAGUGACAAAGUGUCAGAGUCAGGAGCUCAAGCCAGGCUGUCCACUGGCAGAGCUGGAAAAACAGGAGAUAAACAUCAGCAGCGAGAGCCCAGGUCACACUGCCCGGGAUCACACCCCAGACUGCCAACUGGGUGAAUGAACCAUUCUGAGCCUUAGUUUGCUCUUCUAUAAACCGGGGAGAGCAAUGGUCCCUACCUCAUGGGUUUUUUAUUGGGAUUGCAUAAAAUAGGCCCUGAAAAGUGCUGGACGUGCCCGGCAAACAUGAGUGCUGUGCAUGCGGUCUGGGCUGGCUGCCCACCUGCCCAAAGCUCAUUCCUCUCACUGACCAGGUCAUGACUGCAACGUUUGCUCCAGGAAUCCAUCUGAGAACUCUGUCCAUGUUCUCAAAUGCCUGGAUGGCGAGGUGGCUGAGGGCAGUAUCGUGCGGUCCCCAGCAGCCAGGACUCAGCCCAGCUGACCUGUCCCCAGCCAGCAGAAGAGGAUCCGCAGAUGCCCGCAGGAAGGGGACGCAUUGCCAGGUCCACCAGCUCUCCCACAGACAGCUCCAGGCCUCACUGCUGAGUCUGUGUCCUAUAUACAAUGUCAUCUGAGGGUGGCACCGAACACCUGGCUGGCUUGCUGGCCACCCACCACCCUUUCAGCCACCCUGGCUGCCCUCUGGUUUCUAUCGCGUCUGUUAAAAGGCAGACCCCUCUGGAUGCUUUCCUCCACUCUUUCAAAGUGCCCCCACCCUCACCCUUCAAACAUCAAGUUGAUGGUUGUACCAUGAGCCACAGGAACAAUAAACAGCCCGGAAGCCACUCCACUCAAGGUCUCGAGGCCCUCCCGACAGCCGGCCGCCUGCCCUGCCACGGAGGCUGGGCAGCACAGCUGGGGGCUUGAGAGCUGGUUCAAAUCCUGUGUCUGCCCCCUGCGAGCUAUGUUUGCUCAGGCAAGUAGCUUGCCCUCUCUGGAUCUAGUUUCCCUGUCCUCAAAAGCAUGGGCAGACAUGGGCAAAGUGCUGGCUUGCAAUUCUCAAUAAAUUACAGAUUAUCAGAUCGCUAUUUAACUCAGGCAACAAAAGGAAAAUACUUGAUUGUGUGGAGAGCAAUAACUCUUAAAAAUGGGGUGGCCGCCCCAUAAUAAGAAAAGCUAGAAAAAAAUAAACCACAGACGCAGUGAUUUGGCAGGGUGAUAUACGGAGGAAAUUCUGCCAUCAGGAAACAGUAUUGUCCAUAGGUUUUCUUCCUACUUUCUUCCUUUAAUUACUAAAUAAAAUCUUCAAUCACU